rfam:Glycine max cultivar Williams 82 chromosome 9, whole genome shotgun sequence.
GUUCCCAGUGAUGCUACUAUGCUAAUGCUAAUAACAUAUGAUUAUUACCUUCAUUAAAUUGAGGGAACA